AUUGAACGCUGGCGGCAGGCCUAACACAUGCAAGUCGAACGGUAACAGGAAGAAGCUUGCUUCUUUGCUGACGAGUGGCGGACGGGUGAGUAAUGUCUGGGAAACUGCCUGAUGGAGGGGGAUAACUACUGGAAACGGUAGCUAAUACCGCAUAACGUCGCAAGACCAAAGAGGGGACCUUCGGGCCUCUUGCCAUCGGAUGUGCCCAGAUGGGAUUAGCUAGUAGGUGGGGUAACGGCUCACCUAGGCGACGAUCCCUAGCUGGUCUGAGAGGAUGACCAGCCACACUGGAACUGAGACACGGUCCAGACUCCUACGGGAGGCAGCAGUGGGGAAUAUUGCACAAUGGGCGCAAGCCUGAUGCAGCCAUGCCGCGUGUAUGAAGAAGGCCUUCGGGUUGUAAAGUACUUUCAGCGGGGAGGAAGGGAGUAAAGUUAAUACCUUUGCUCAUUGACGUUACCCGCAGAAGAAGCACCGGCUAACUCCGUG
rnacentral:rRNA from 1 species